rnacentral:rRNA from 1 species
UGGGGAAUUUUGGACAAUGGGCGCAAGCCUGAUCCAGCCAUGCCGCGUGCGGGAAGAAGGCCUUCGGGUUGUAAACCGCUUUUGUCAGGGAAGAAAUCCUUUGAGCUAAUACCUCGGGGGGAUGACGGUACCUGAAGAAUAAGCACCGGCUAACUACGUGCCAGCAGCCGCGGUAAUACGAAGGGUGCAAGCGUUACUCGGAAUUACUGGGCGUAAAGCGUGCGUAGGUGGUGGUUUAAGUCUGCUGUGAAAGCCCUGGGCUCAACCUGGGAAUUGCAGUGGAUACUGGAUCACUAGAGUGUGGUAGAGGGAUGCGGAAUUUCUGGUGUAGCAGUGAAAUGCGUAGAUAUGCGGAGGAACACCGAUGGCGAAGGCAAUCCCCUGGGCCUGCACUGACGCUCAUGCACGAAAGCGUGGGGAGCAAACA